rnacentral:rRNA from 1 species
AGAGUUUGAUCCUGGCUCAGAACGAACGCUGGCGGCAUGCCUAACACAUGCAAGUCGAACGUGAAGCCGUCCUUCGGGGCGGUGGAAAGUGGCGCACGGGUGAGUAACCCCUGGGAACCUGCCCCUUGGUAUGGGAUAACCGUGGGAAACUGCGGCUAAUACCGUAUACGCCCUGAGGGGGAAAGAUUUAUCGCCGAGGGAGGGGCCCGCGUCGGAUUAGGUAGUUGGUGGGGUAACGGCCUACCAAGCCGACGAUCCGUAGCUGGUCUUACAGGACGGUCCGCCACACUGGGACUGAGACACGGCCCAGACUCCUACGGGAGGCAGCAGUGGGGAAUAUUGGACUAUGGGGGAAACCCUGAUCCAGCAAUGCCGCGUGGGUGACCAAGGCCUUAGGGUUGUAAAGCCCUUUCGGCGGGGAAGAUGAUGACGGUACCCGCAGAAUAAGCCCCGGCUAAAUCCGUGCCCGCAGCCGCGGUAAUACCGAGGGGGCUAGUGUUGUUCGGAAUUACUGGGCGUAAAGGGCGUGUAGGCCGCCCGUCAAGUCAGGCGUGAAAGCCCUGGGCUUAACCUAAGAGGUGCGCUUGAAACUGAUGGGCUUGAAGCCCGGCAGAGGAAAGUGGAAUUCCCAGCGUAAAAGUGAAAAUCC